CAAUGUUAAAAGUAUAUUAGAGUGUGGAGACAGUGGCCAAAGAAGGAAAUUGUUAUUUAGUUUGUUUUAAGAGUGACUGGACUAGAAAGAUGGCUUUAAGAUGAAUGGGCACUGAGGGAGAGUAAAACCUGCAGGAGGCAGUAAUGCAACACUGUGGAUGCCAACUGAUACAGCUAGCUACGGCAUUUAGCUGAGAAAAAGUGGAUACGACAGUUAGCUAGGUUUAGGCACCAAAACGACUAACGUUAGUUAAGUUUAGAAAAAAUAUCAUGGUUUGGAUUAAAACACUCCCAAUGAACGAACACGCGUUUGCUGGGUUUAAAAUACUAAAAUUAUAUUGGAUUAGAUUUUGCGUAACUUCCGGAUGUAGCUGUAUCCCUUCUAGCCACAACCAGAAGAUCAUGGUCACCAAGUUUUUUGUAGCAUAGCUAACUUAGCUAACAUACACCUGAAGAUGUGUAAAUUAAUUUCAGGUGCUAAGGUUUUUGCAGAAAUGUGCCACCACAAACAGUUAACGUUAAAAUAAGUUGGUGUUUUCGGGAUUUUGUGCAGCUGUAAAUAAUCAGUCAGACCUGGCCUUAGGAGAAAAGACGCUGAAACUUCAGUCAUUGGUGACGUUCAGAUCGGUGCUUACAUGGUGAGCCCUUCUUUUCAAUAACCCAGUAACAGAAGCCCCUCCUGGCACGGUCAUUGAACUCAUUCCUGAACUGGGGCUUGUUUUGAGCUCUUGUUACUGUGGGACCAACCGUAUGCUUGCACCAUGGAGGGAACCGGAUCAUUAACUGCAGUUUCAUCCAGAAUCAAUGGAGGCAACAGGCUGCUGCUGGGGUGGUCUGUCUGGAGAUGUGGAAACAUGACAGGGUGACUCCUCGGCCAGAAUGUCAUGCUGGUGAAGAAAAUCGAAGGAUCAUGAAUAUUAGCUACCGUUUAUUCCUCCAGUCCAACGAAGUGACAUCAUGCGCAACACGGCUGCAAAACAAAUACUUGACGUGUGAGAGAGAAACCUCUCGACAGUGACCAAGUACUUACUUCUCUCCCCUAAAACGACUUGAGUCCCAUGUUUUUUUCUUUUCUCCCGUCUGCAUGUUCAUGAUAGUACUGCAGCCAGCUCACCUCGACUCACACACACAAAGAUGGGUUGUGUUACUUUGUCACUUAGCAACCACUUUGACAACAGUACUCCUGCUGUGUUGAACUAGAGCAGGUUAUAAUUUCAGAUUGUGACUUAAAAGGGACAUCCUUGUGUUUUGUCUGUGACCUUAAACAGUCGGCUUUAUACAAGUGUCAACUGUGUGAAGUUAUUCAGCUUGUACCAACCUUAUUUACAAUAAUUACAAUGAAAUUGCUUUAAGAUUUUAAAAUGCUAAUCCGUUGUAUGUUGUUAAAAUCAGUUAACUUUGUUGUGCCGGAAAGCCCUGGAUAUUCCUAAAUCAUAAAUCAGCAGUGACAAAACGAAACAUUUCAUCACACUUACAAAAUAAACCGUAGUAAUGUUGUAGUUCUCCACCAACAUAAUAGCUUCUCAAUAAUCAUCUAUAUGCUCUGAGCAAUAAGGUCUCACUUUUAUGACUUUUGUUUUGUGACUAGUCAGAAUUUACUUGUUCAUAAUCAAUCGCUGUACUUACUGUAAGUGGCUGAGCAAAUAACUAAAAUAGCAAGUCAUCACAGCUUUCAACCAGUUAAGAAAUAUAUCUUUUAUUUAUGUAUUACACAAAUAAACAAUUAAGGUCUUUGAGCUACACCAGCAAUGUAUACAUUUAAAACAUGGUGACAGAAGCACAAAAUAGGCAGAAUUAAAAAGUAGGCAAAAACAAAAGCAUAAACUCCUUAGUCAGUGUUUUUUUACAGCCUAGUCUUAAGAAAUGCAAAGACAAUGUUAAUUGUUUUGUUUUUUACCAUAGGAAAUCAGCUGCAAGACAAAAUGUUAGAAGAGAGACUCGGUCCAUUUAUGGUGGUAGG